UAGCAAAAUCAACAACCACACAAAGCCCAGGACCAAUAAUAGAGCAAUUCACACUGAACUUCACAAUAACCAACCUCAGGUUCACAACAGACCUAAGGACACCAAGUUCUGCUAAAUUCAGUUCUACUGAGAAAAUAAUGAAACAUUAUAUUGAUCCCCUGCUUCAGAAGAGCAGCAUUGGUCCCUAUUUCACUGGCUGCAAAGUAACAGGAUUCAGGUCAAUGAAGAAUAGGGAUAACACAGGAGUAGACACCAUCUGCCGCUAUGGAGAUGGUUCCCAAGUGCCCAAGUUUAACCAAACUAAGGUUUACCAAGAACUAAAGAACAUGACAAAUGGCAUCACCAAAUUAGGAAUCUAUAACCUGGACAACAAGAGCCUCUAUAUC